rnacentral:tRNA from 1 species
GGGCGAUUAACUCAGUGGUAGAGUGUCUCGUUUACACCGAGGUUGUCGGGGGUUCGAAUCCCUCAUCGCCCACCA